CGGGGCGCCGCGGGCUGCUGGAGUCGAGGGGGAAGGGGCUGAGUAGCUGCGGCUCAGGAGUGGAAAUGCUGCGGCGAGGGGCUCUGCAGGCCCGUCGAGGAGUCCAAAGGCAUUUGGAGUCAGUCCGAGCCUGGGUGCAUGCUCUUGUUAUUUAUUUUCGCUCCAGGCAAAGCGAUUUGGCGGGAGAGGGUUGGGACUCCAAGACAACUCCAUUGCUGGAGGAGGCCCCAACCUGGGAGAAGAGAGGUUUAGAGAAAUCAGUAGAGCUCAGAGAAGCGAAACCGAAAGGGGGUGUUGGGGACAAGGAGGAGGGAUCCAAGAGGGAGAGUGCAUCCAGGCUGGGUUCUGAAGGAUGAACCGGAGCUCGCGGGCAGGGGGGAGGGGCGAGUGUACCGAGGGCCGCGGCCUUCCAGGAAGAAGGGACAGCGCGUCCUAAGGCACAGGAGCGUGAAAGCCCCCACGGUGCUGUGUUUGGCUUUGUUGCAGCGGAAAAAAGCGAGGGAGGAGAGACAGGAGAUAAGGCUGGCGCGGGAUCGAACUCGGGACCUUGUGGUUGCGAGGCAGGCGGCGGAACCACUGAGGAAAUGUGGACCUUCCAGACGGUUGAUGCCAUUUCCCAGGAACCUGGGAUCUUGGCAGACGAUGCUGACAUAUUCUCAAAGACUGGUUGGUGGAGUUUGCUCGAUUUUGGUUCCUCUUUCAAAAUGUCCUCACUGGCGCAUUUGUUCAUUUUCUCUUUUUCACUCGGGCCCCAUCAAUGUGUUCCAGCAGCCCCUGUUGCUCUUUUCUUCGCCCAGACAAGCAGAUUUUCCUACAGCUUCAGAACUGGAGCUGGCCUUUGUUACUGGUGAUGUGGUUGACUUAGGUUUAGGGGCCAUGCAGUAAGGAAACCUCAUAAGACCCAGAGAUUUACAGAGCCUGGGCCAGGGAGUUGCUUCCUGCAAGGAGCUCGGACACCUGAGCCUCUGAGAGGCAGGGAGCGCUGUCCCUGGAGUUCGGACCUGGUAGACAUUCCUGCAAGUUCACGGAGUGACCUUGAGACUGGACUGGCCCCGGCUCCAGCUCCGUCUAUUUCUAUUCCCGUCCAGAUGCCAAUUUGGGCUUAGUCCUUCUGGGAGAGAAUCAAGGCCAGUGUGUCUCGAGCAUAGCAGGUGGUGAGUGUCCCCUCCAGUGGGGACAGACAGAGGGGAACAGAGGGAGCCAGGGCCCCAGAGGCCCAGCAUGAAAAAUUUGGAUUUCAUUCCAAGUAAAAUGGAUUGAAGCGGGAGAGUGACUUAAAAUGAUUAACCUCAUAAAUAUCAAGUGUCGGCAAAGACGAGGAGCAAAGGAGUCCCUCCUAGGUGCUGGAGGUUGGUAGUUGUACAAGCCAGUGUUAGAGUUGGACCAGCACAUAUUCCACAACCCAGCAAGUCUGCUCCUGCAUAUGUGUCUCAGAGAAACGUGUGUGUGUAGGAAUGUUCCUAAUGAGGCUAUCACAGUGUCCAUCAGCAAGAGGAUGGACAAGUGCAUUGUGGUAUAUUCUUACAAUGGAGUGAAAAAGAAUAAACCACUGCUCUGUUCAAGAACAUGUAUGUAAUCUUAUGUAUCUCAUCAUAUGUAAUGAUGAGACUGAGUGGUAACAUACAGAAUAUAUAUGAUGUGAUUCAAUGGAUGCAAAGCUUAAGGAAAGGUAAAACAAAGCAAUAACAUUGAAGAAUGCACAUAUAGAUGGUGAAAUUGUAAAGAGAAGCAAGAAAAAAUGUCUUUUGACAGAUGAAUGUAGAAAAUGUGAUAUAAUGUGAGUACUAAAGAAUGAUAUCGUGCCAGUUUUUUUUUGGUACCAGGGAUCGAACUUGGAUCCUUGUGGUUGUGCAGCAGGCAGCAAAACCACUGAGUUAAAUCCCCAGCCCUGUCUUGCCAUUUUUAAUAGCAUGGAUGUACCUAGAAGAACUUAUGCUAAAUGAAAUAAGCUAGUCAUAUAGGGGCAAGGACUGCAGGCUUCCACUUAGAUGAGGUAACUAAAAGAGUCAAACUCACAGAAUCCAGAAUAGAAGGGUGAUCGCCAGAGGCUGGAGGUCUGGGAGGGGAAAUGAAAGUGGGAAAUUGUUCUUCAAAGAGUGUACCUUCUAUUAUGCAAGAUGAAUAAUCUCUAGAGAUCUGCUGUACAAGAUAGAAUCUGUAGUUAAUAAGGGCUUGUGCACUUCAAAGUACGUUAAGAGGAUACAUCUCACGUUAAGUGUUUGUUAUAUUUUGUGUGUAAUUUGUGUCUUUCCCAACAGUCCAUAUGGAAAAGCUUAGACCCCAGGGUGGCAGUAUUGUGGGGUCCUGUGAACCAUUAAGGGGUGUGGCUUAGCGGGGGGCUCUUAGGUCACUGUAAGUGUGCCCUCUCGGGGAAUUGUGGCACCUCAUUCUCUUCCUCCUCCUUGCUCUGCUCCAAUUGGAGAUGUGAAUGUUUUUCUCCAGCGUGUUCCCAUCCAUGCCAUGAGGUGCUGAAGUGAAGGCAUGGCUCUCACCAAGCUUGUACUAUACUGUUUGGGCUUUGAACCUCCCAAAAUUGUGAGCUAAAUAAACCAUUUAUCUUUAGUGUUAAAGCUGACCAACACAGUAUUCUUCCAAAACAAAACUAAACAACAACACCCAGACAAACAAAAAGCCCCAAUGCUCAUGAAAGAACACAAAUUUUUGGAGGUUAUGUUUAGUACCUUGAUUGAAGUGGUGAUAAUCAUGGGUUUAUUUAUAUCUCCAGAUGCAUUAAGGAAUACAUUAAAUAGGUGUGAUUUUAAUGUAUCAAUUUUACCUCAAUAAAACCAAAAGAGAAGAAAAAAAAAGAAAAAAGAAAAGUAAGGAAAGAUGAUGAUAUAAAACAG
rnacentral:lncRNA from 1 species